UUGAAUUUCGGGAUCAAAUUUGCUGGUCGUGCCUUCGGUACGCACUGGUAUUAUUGGUUUCUCCUUCUGACUAAUCGCGAUGUCAUUAAUUGGUGUCGUGGGGGAAUCAGGACUGUUACUUAGAAAAAAUUAGAGUGUUUAAAGCAGGCUCACCGCUUGAAUACAUUAGCAUGGAAUAAUGAAAUAGGUACGUUUGAUCUAUUUUGUUGGUUUCUAGGAUCGACGUAAUGAUUAAUAGGGAUAGUUGGGGGCAUUAGUAUUCAAUUGUCAGAGGUGAAAUUCUUGGAUUUAUUGAAGACUAACUACUGCGAAAGCAUUUGCCAAGGAUGUUUUCAUUAAUCAAGAACGAAAGUUAGGGGAUCGAAGACGAUCAGAUACCGUCGUAGUCUUAACCAUAAACUAUGCCGACUAGGGAUCGGAUGAUGUUAAUUUUUAAUGACUC
rnacentral:rRNA from 1 species